AUGCUUCGGCAGCACGUUUACAUAAAUUACAACAAUAUAGAGAUUAACAUGCCACUUGGACAAGGAUGAUAUGAAAAUAUGCGAAUUAUUCCAUAUUUUU
ensembl:snRNA U6 U6 spliceosomal RNA